rnacentral:rRNA from 1 species
CCUACGGGAGGCUGCAGUGGGGAAUAUUGCACAAUGGGGGAAACUCUGAUGCAGCAACGCCGCGUGAGUGAAGAAGGAAUUCGUUAUGUAAAGCUCUAUCAGCAGGGAAGAAAAUGACGGUACCUGAGUAAUAAGCCCCGGCGAACUACGUGCCAGCAGCCGCGGUAAUACGUAGGGGGCAAGCGUUAUCCGGAUUUACUGGGUGUAAAGGGAGCGUAGACGGCAGUGCAAGUCUGGAGUGAAAGGCGGGGGCUCAACCCCCGGACUGCUCUGGAAACUGUACGGCUGGAGUGCAGAAGAGGUGAGUGGAAUUCCUAGUGUAGCGGUGAAAUGCGUAGAUAUUAGGAGGAACACCAGUGGCGAAGGCGGCUUACUGGACUGUAACUGACGUUGAGGCUCGAAAGCGUGGGUAGCAAACAGGAUUAGAUACCCUGGUAGUC